rnacentral:rRNA from 1 species
AUUGAACGCUGGCGGCAGGCCUAACACAUGCAAGUCGAACGAGUGGCGGACGGGUGAGUAAUGUCUGGGAAACUGCCCGAUGGAGGGGGAUAACUACUGGAAACGGUAGCUAAUACCGCAUACCAUCGGAUGUGCCCAGAUGGGAUUAGGUAGUUGGUGGGGUAAAGGCUCACCAAGCCGACGAUCUCUAGCUGGUCUGAGAGGAUGACCAGCCACACUGGGACUGAGACACGGCCCAGACUCCUACGGGAGGCAGCAGUGGGGAAUAUUGCGCAAUGGGGGCAACCCUGACGCAGCCAUGCCGCGUGUAUGAAGAAGGCCUUCGGGUUGUAAAGUACUUUCAGCGAGGAGGCGUUACUCGCAGAAGAAGCACCGGCUAACUCCGUGCCAGCAGCCGCGGUAAUAC